rnacentral:rRNA from 1 species
GAAACCUGGUUGAUCCUGCCAGUAGCAUACGCUUGUCUCAAAGAUUAAGCCAUGCAUGUCUAAGUAUAAACGAUUUUAUACGUGAAACUGCGAAUGGCUCAUUAUAUCAGUUAUAGUUUAUUUGAUGGUCUUUGCUACUUGGAUAACCGUAGUAAUUCUAGAGCUAAUACAUGCAUCAAUCCUCUAUUUGAGGU